UACGAAGGGGGCUAGCGUUGCUCGGAAUUACUGGGCGUAAAGCGCACGUAGGCGGCUCUUUAAGUCGGGGGUGAAAUCCUGGAGCUCAACUCCAGAACUGCCUUCGAUACUGAAGAGCUCGAGUCCGGGAGAGGUGAGUGGAACUGCGAGUGUAGAGGUGAAAUUCGUAGAUAUUCGCAAGAACACCAGUGGCGAGGCGGCUCACUGGCCCGGUACUGACGCUGAGGUGCGAAAGCGUGGGGAGCAAACAGG
rnacentral:rRNA from 1 species